AUUGAACGCUGCGGCAGGCUUAACACAUGCACGUCGGGCGAGCUGCGGACGGGUGCGUAAUGCUUAGGCAUCUGCCUAUUGGUGGUGGACCACAUCACGCAAGGGGUGCUAAUACCGCAUACUAAUAGAUGAGCCUAAGUCGGAUUCACUAGUUGGUGGGGUAAAGGCCUACGAAGGCGACGAUCUGUAGCGGGUCUGAGAGGAUGAUCCGCCAAACUGGGAAUGGGACACGGCUAAGACCACUACGGUAGGCAGCAGUGGGGAAGAGGGGAAAAUGGGGGGAAGCCUGAUCAAGCCAUGCCGAGUGUGUGAAGAAGGCCUUAGGGUUGUAAAGGACGUUAAGCGAGGAGGCGUUACUCGAAGAAUAAGCACCGGCUAACUCUGAGCCAGCCGCCGCGGUAAUAC
rnacentral:rRNA from 1 species